GGACUGGAACCAUCCGCAGCUGUUCUGACUGUGGGUUAUAAGACCCGGAUUUCAGAAAGAGUCCUGUCCAUCCCCUGGAGGAAGGAAUGCUGCACAGGGAGGCCAAGAAGAAUCUAGACCGGCAGGCCUUGCAGGGUCUCCCCACUCCAUCUUUUAGCGUGAGAUCAAAGCCUUUCUGUCCCACCGCAUUUCAACACGGCUGUCCAUGCUUCCAUCGUGCCUAUCCCAGGAAGUCUCCAUAGAGGGCCCCAGAGGACAGGGUUUGGGGAGCUUCCAGGUUGCUGAACACAUGGAGGUUUCUGAUGGGCGGAGCACCCAGGGAAGGCUUGGAAGCUCCGCGACCCUUCCCCCAUACCUCGCCCUCUGCAUCUCUUCAUCUGUAUCUUUUGUAAUAUCCUUUAUAAUAAACUGGUAAAUGUGUUUCCCUGAGUUCUGUGAGCCACUGUAGCAAAUAACAGAACCCAAAGAGGGAGUCAUGGGAAUCUCAACUUGAAGCCAGUCGAUCAGAACUUCCGGAAGCCCAGACUUGAGACCGGGCUUAAUAUACACAAGGCCAUAGAGCUAGACCCAGGCCAUGGAGGAGCAUGGAGGACCGCAAUUCUAAAAGCUUUGCCAGCUUAAAAGUAAGUGCAUCCAGGAAGCAGCUGAAACUUCACGCAGAUUUGUGGAUAUAGACAUGAAGGGAAUAUGGCUUCCUUUGUAGUGAGUUCUGUCUGCAGAUGGACACUCAAACCAUGAAAAGCUCAGCCUACGCCGGGCAGUCGACAUCGUGGCUCCGGCCAGCAAUUCUUCCACUAGAUUUAAUGAGAGCGUGGAAGUCCCUGAACAACCUGAAGGCACAUUUGAGGAGAAGCACACACUCAGUCAGGGAAUGGAGCCAGAAUUUCAUCUGCUUGAGAUGGAAGUGAAGAAAUUUCUGGAGACUGGAGUGGAUUAUAGGAGAAAGUACCAGGGUUUAGCCUGUGCUUAAAAUGGAAAUUCCUCGCAUUCUCAUUUCAGCUUCUCUGAGGGAGGAAGGGCAUUCCUGAAACACAGCUGAGUAUGUAACAGGCCACGAACCUUGGUGACAACCAGGUAACAUCCUUGGUCAUAGAGGCUAUGUCGGUUUCGGUUACAGUGAUGCACUUUUAAACAGUUUAGGCCAUCGCUAAUAAGCUUCAAGUCUCAGCUUUUCUGUUUGUAAGUUAAAAAUUUGGAGGUAAAAAAUUAGUGCUUUCAUUUAUAGUACAUCACAAUAUUUCCAAGAAAUAGCCCGACAGGGAGAAACUUUCCUACAGUCACGAACCAUUUGACUCCUACAACUCCAUCUUUGGAGGCUGCCAGCAUGUUCUGAGUCCAGGGCAGAUCCGAUGAAUAAUUUUCCUGCUUCUCAUCCUAGAAUAUCUGCCUGCCUCACAGGAUCAAGUCCAAGCCCCAAACCUGCCAUUCAGGGACCUCAAUUCUGCAUCCUACCUACUGCUUCAGCUGAGGCUCCUGCGUGCGGUGCCUGGAACACGAGCAGCAGGGGCUGCCUCCGCACACCGGCGCGCGCACACCCGGUGUCUUUGCUCAUGCAGUCCUGGGGCCUAGGACGCCUCCUCCUGCUCUUCCUUGCCUUGCUCAUAUCUGCUCAUUCUUCAAUUCUUGGCUGGUAUCAUCUCUUCCAGGAAGCCUCCUCCUCCGGGUCUGUGUGCCCUGAUAGCUUGCUUCCUCUAUGUUAUUUUAUUAAAAAGAUCGGUUUAUGUGUAUAUCUCUAAACUUUACAAGCUAAGUUUUUGUGUGUUUGUGUUUUAUUUAUUCUUUUUGAGACGGAGUCUCACUGUGUCACCCAGGCCGAAGUGCAAUGGUGCAAUCUUGGCUCACUGCAACCUCCACCUCCUGGGUUCAACCAAUUCUUGUGUCUCGGCCUCCCGAGUAGCUGGGAUCACAGGUGCCUGCCACCACACCUAGCUAUUUUUUUUUUGUAUUUUUACUAGAGACAGGGUUUCACCAUGUUAGUCAGGCUGGUCCUGAAUUCUUGAACUCAAGCGAUCUGCCAGCCUCGGCCUCCCAAAGUGCUGGGAUUACAGGCGUGAGUCACCACGCCCGGCCUACAAGCUAAGUUUUAAUUCAGCAAAUAUUUUUUGUCCGGGCUCUCUUCUGGGAUUGGAGCCUAGACGGUCAAGGUCCCUGAUCUCACCGGCUUAUGUUCUAAAGAGCGACAGAUGGGGAACAUGUAAAUGAACAAAUUAAGCAAUGAUCUGGGAAGGA
rnacentral:lncRNA from 1 species